GACAGAGGUGCCGAGCGUUAGGCGGAAUCACUGGGCUUAAAGCGUGUGUAGGCGGACCGUUAAGUACCUUGUGAAAUCCCCCGGCUCAACCGGGGGAACGGCUGGGUAUACUGGCGGUCUUGAGCCAUCCAGGGGCAGUCGGAACAGACGGUGGAGCGGUGAAAUGCGUAGAUAUCGUCUGGAACGCCGAAGGUGAAAACAGACUGCUGGGGAUGCGCUGACGCUGAGACACGAAAGCCAGGGGAGCGAACGGG
rnacentral:rRNA from 1 species